AAGUAUAUCAACAUACAUGGACUACAAUAAAGCAUACAAUUAGUAACAUACGAUCUAAAAAUAAAAUGACAGACGACGUUAUUGUUCUUCUUGGUCACGCUGGUGCCAUUGAUUGAAUUCGUUUGACAAUUCAUUGAUUCGAUCUAAAAACGAAUCAUCGAUAUUAGCAGGCGUCUGACUAUACCCAAAUCCCUGAGUGUUAGUGUUUUGUUGUGUUCCCAAUCCAAAAUCCCCGAAGCUUGUCCAUCCUUCAUGCUCACCUACACUGUCGUGCUCAUCCCUACACUGUUGCUGUUGGGACUCGAUAUGUGAAUAAUAUGGCUGGGAUAGGGUGGCCUCAGAAUCAUCGUCUCUCUCAUUUUCUCUUAGACCCUCUUCCCACGCUCCCUCACUGGUGCAAUAUCACCGUCAUCUUCGACAAAUUGUGGAUACGUUGGCUGGCUGCUUCCUCUUUCAUGCUGCUCAUCACCUUCUUCAAGAUCUUCCUCACCGAUAGCCUCAAGGAACGCUCUCUUGUGCAAUACUGGCU
rnacentral:lncRNA from 1 species